GACGAACGCUGGCGGCGUGCUUAACACAUGCAAGUCGAACGGAAAGGCCCUGCUUUUGUGGGGUGCUCGAGUGGCGAACGGGUGAGUAACACGUGAGUAACCUGCCCUUGACUUUGGGAUAACUUCAGGAAACUGGGGCUAAUACCGGAUAGGAGCUCCUGCUGCAUGGUGGGGGUUGGAAAGUUUCGGCGGUUGGGGAUGGACUCGCGGCUUAUCAGCUUGUUGGUGGGGUAGUGGCUUACCAAGGCUUUGACGGGCAGCCGGCCUGAGAGGGUGACCGGCCACAUUGGGACUGAGAUACGGCCCAGACUCCUACGGGAGGCAGCAGUGGGGAAUAUUGCACAGUGGGCGGAAGCCUGAUGCAGCAACGCCGCGUGCGGGAUGACGGCCUUCGGGUUGUAAACCGCUUUCGCCUGUGACGAAGCGUGAGUGACGGUAAUGGGUAAAGAAGCACCGGCUAACUACGUG
rnacentral:rRNA from 1 species